AAAAUGGUGAGAUAUGACCUUCCUGGUACAGUCCGCUGGAAAAAGAGAAGAAAGCCUCGGAUGGGCAUGAGUGCAACUUUCUAAAUACAGUGUGCAGUGAUCAGUUCCCAAGGAUGGUUCUUACAAGGAGAAAAUCCAGAAACUAUCAAUUGGCUACCUUGAUGUGAUCCUCUUCAUGAGGAAGCUUGGACUUCUCCCUGCUUCACAGAUGGGUUACGAGAUAGUCCAGAGAAGCUGCAUUCUAAGAAGCAUUAUGACCUGUCUUCUUAGAAACAACACGGCAUCACUUUUACCACAUUCUUUUGGUCACAAGGAGAGGGAAUUACACAUCACCUGAUUUUGGAUGCAUGUGUGAGGUAUGCUACUGUACUCACAAGACAUCUGAAACUAUACCCAGAUCAUCUAGAAGUGAACAUGUUCCAGGUGAUGUCCCUAUGUAAACCAAGGGUUGGUUUUCAGUGGGUAGAAAAUGCCCUUCAAACACUGACCCUGUCAUAUUGCAGAUGCCUUCAGGUAAAAAGUCAAUUAACCACUGGUGGGCAAUAUCCAAAAUUGAUAGCAGAAACAGAAAAAUAAAAGACUACUCAGCAAAGACAAGUAGAGUGUAAGCAUCACAUAGGCUGGAAACUUUGUUUGCUGUUUUCUGUUUGUUUGUGUCCGUUCUCUUCUGUAUCCCAAGCAUCUGGAAUGAGGACUGGCACAUAGCUAUUGUUCAAUAAAUGCUUGUUGAUAAAUAAAAAUGCUGGAAUUAUUUGACUUCUCUUUAUCAACUGUAGGCAACACCAAACUUGUAUGCAGGAAAGAAAGAUAUAGGAUUAAUGAAAUGAAGAAUUUGGGGAUGGUUUACUCUAAC
rnacentral:lncRNA from 1 species